rnacentral:rRNA from 1 species
UACGUAGGCAGCGAGCGUUUAAUCGGAAUUACUGGGCGUAAAGCGUGCGCAGGCGGUUCGUUGUGUCGGUGGUGAAAAGCCCCCGGGGCUUAACCUGGGGAAUGGCCAUGGAAACUGGCGAACUGGAGUGUGGCAGAGGGGGGUGGAAUUCCGCGUGUAGCAGUGAAAUGCGUAGAGAUGCGGAGGAACACCGAUGGCGAAGGCAGCCCCCCUGGGCUAGCACUGACGCUCAGGCACGAAAGCGUCGGGGAGCAAACAGG